GGGGGAUAACGUCCGGAAACGGACGCUAAUACCGCAUACUUCCUACGGGAAAAAGCAGGGGACCUUCGGGCCUUGCGCUAUCAAAUGAGCCUAGGUCGGAUUAGCUAGUUGGUGGGGUAAUGGCUCACCAAGGCGACAAUCCGUAACUGGUCUGAGAGGAUGAUCAGUCACACUGGAACUGAGACACGGUCCAAACUCCUACGGGAGGCAGCAGUGGGGAAUAUUGGACAAUGGGCGAAAGCCUGAUCCCCCAUGCCGCGUGUGUGAAGAAGGUCUUCGGAUUGUAAAGCAGUUUAAGUUGGGAAGAAGGGCAAUAUAUUAAUACUUUGCUGUUUUGACGUUACCGACAAAAUAAACACCGGCUUACUCUGUGCCAGCAGCCGCUGUAAUACAGAGAGUGC
rnacentral:rRNA from 1 species